GCAAGACACAAGGGAAGAGAAGAAGAGACAGUACCAGGCAGGGAGGUCCUUGUUCUGAUCAGCGUUUAAGACUAGUUUCAACUCACAGGAGACAGGACACCAAGAAUCUCUGGAAGUAUGCAUCAGAUGUCUAGAUAAACAGAAUGCUGAACUAAGAAGAAGUCUGAGGACAAACUCCAACAGAUCAUCAUCUCAGGCACAGCUUCGACCUUGCCACAGGCACAGGAAGAAAACCAUAAUUUUCCAGUCCUUUCACUGACGUUUUCACUGAACACCAGGUGUAAACCAAGCUCGCCUGCUUGCAGGUGUUGGAUGAGAGGCUAUUACAAUUGGCUUUUCCUUUCUCAGCUGGUUUCUGUGUCUAUCACUGUAGCAGUGCAGUUAUUACGAGCAUUAUUGUUACAGUACAGUAGUUUAAUGUGUCUGUGGCACCAAAUGAGAUGCAGUAAAAUGGUUUUUGAUUGUUGUGUUAAAACAGAUCAAUAUGUAUUACUUAGAUAUACUAUAAUCUCUGUGCAUACUUUACCAUAAAUCUAAACACAAUCUGUCAUUUUAUUAUACUCAGUUUAAAAAAAGCAAAAAAUAAAUAAAUAAAGAUAACUGGAAGAUGUUAGAAACCAAAUGGUAAACCAUGCAUCAUACGCCAAGUACUGUUGGCUGAUCUCCAGUUUGACAUAUGUGACUGUAACAUGAGAAACACUGAUAGCAGAUUCUGAGUAUUAUGCUGACUUAAUUAAAUUCAGGCAAAGAAAAAAUAUAAAAACUAAACAAUGUAAGAGGAGCUUUAAAUGAAGAAAAAUAUAAACCUUCUUUAUGAGCUUCUUCAGAUGUACCAAGGCGUCGUUUUAGUAAUGAUGCAACAAGAGGCCAGUGGAUUACCCGAUUGUGGUAUGAAAUGAGAUCAAACACUCCCCUUUGGGUUCUGUACCUGUGUGGUGGGGAGACAUUGCUGGUUUAAUGAAUUAGGGUGCCAAGAACUGGAAAUACAAUGUGUGCCUGGCACAGGAGGAAGAAGGUAAACAGUUUUGGGAUUUAGAGGCUCCAGGCCUUUGAAAAUCCACUUGCACAUAAGGGUUCUAAACAAUUUAUGGUUUUAGUUUAUACUUUUUAUUUUAACUUUUUGGUUUCCCUUUGGUUUACAUUAGCCAAUGGUUUAAAACUAUAUUUAAUUUAAACUGUAAAUAUCAUGCAAGACAACACUUAAGAACAAGUAUUUCAUGUACAUUUUGUAAUGUGCACUAAACUGCAAAAGACACAGAUAACCAAGUCAAUAAUAUAAUCACCAUUGUCAUCUGCAAAGCCAGAUAAAUCUUGUCUAACAAGGGACAUUAUAUACUGUAAGUAAUUAGUCAAUUUUUUAUGUUCAUUUUUAAUGUUCAUGCUACACAGAAUCACCAAAACAGUGGCCCUGUUAGUAUGAAUCCUACAGAUGAUCUACAGUACUUACUGUACCUACACAGCAGAAUUCAUAGGAUCAAGUAAUAAGUUUAUUCCAUGCUGAAAAAAAGAAGAAAGAAAACACAACUUUUUGGCCGUGGAGCCUUCUUCAGGUGUCACUGAACAUGUCAGCAUUCAUAGGAUUACUGACAUUGUAACUGUCAUUUUAACUCUAACUACACUCUCCACACAUAAACCAAGGUGGAUGCACAGUAAAUGAGAAAAACCUAAUCUGUAAAACUAAACAAUUGGCCUAGUUUCAUGCUCGACUGCUUGCACAAAAAAAAUAUAUAUAAUCAAAAUCAAAAUCUGGAGGUAGAGAUUCUCCUGGAUUUGGGUUGAUUUGAAAUGUAAUAACCCAAUAUGAAAGUUAGGACCUGCCUGCUUUCAUUAAUCACCAGUAAUUUUUUUCUUCCACAAAAAGAAGAAUGAAGUGUCAACAACAGCUCAAUAUCUUCUUGGAGUUCGUGAGCAACCCUCUAUUUAAUUUCAUUCCUCAAAGGCAGCAGCAAAUUACUCAAUCCACCACUGCACUGAGCAUCACUGAGCCCUUAUGCAGGUUUCCCUUGGUUACCUUAAUAAUAAGGGAAUCACUGCUCUACAGUUAAAAUUACCAUGCAUUCAACAUCCGUGUACAUUCCAGACAGAGUUUCUGCUACAGGAAAAAAGAGACUUUCUAUUUUGAAGUACAGCAAAAUGCUCUAGAAAUAAAAACCUAAAGGUUCUAUCUGGAAUUAAGCUUCUUACAGCCUUGCUUUACACACACCCUGCACUAGAAUUACAAUUAUGCUGUGAUUUACAUUGUUGUAAGAAUAUUUUGAAGCAGUCAGACUAUUUUUAAGUUUAUUCCACAGACAAAGCCAUUAAUUUGACAUUGUAAAACCCCUUUAUUAAUCUUGUAUUUGAUACAUCCACAUGUAUUCUCUGCAAAAUAAUGUUUAAUAAAGAUGACACCUAUAUAUUGUAAAUAAUAUAUUAAUAUUUGUGGCAGAAAUUAAGAUUUCUACAAAGUCUAAGUUGUAAGUCAUACCUGAUUUGCUUGCAGCUGUUUCUAAAGUGUUGCACACCUUUCUCAAAUCAUAAAAUGUACUGCUAUCAUUCCUUUUCAACAAUGCCAAAAUUCUGAAAUGUAACUUUUUAUUUUUUAUCAUUUUUAUGUUUAUGGUAACCCCAGAUUACUGUAUCUAAUUAUUAUUUGGAAAGGAAAAGAACAUGAUUUUCUCUGCAUAAAUUGGAUUGUUUGAUCCAUUUAUUCCACUGAUUAAUCGUCCUUAACCAAUGUAAAAUUGUGGGUGUGUGAAUCCACCCCUGUGGUAUUGCUCAUUCCUAUAGAGCAGGGGGACUCAGACUCCCCCUAUAAUAACUAUGUUUUUACAAAGAUAUUAAAUUGUAAUAUAUCAUAAAAUAUUGCUUGUAAAAUACUCUUGAGUUUCAGGGAUUUCUAAUUCUCUAUCUGCUUGUUCUUCUCACUGACUGUAUUGCUGUAUUGUAUUGUUGUAGUAUUGUAUAAUUUCGUUACACUGUGCUGUGUUGAC